rnacentral:sRNA from 1 species
AUGACUGUGAACUCACUAUGGCUACCAUAACCUUAGGAACAUGUCAGUUACCAGUAGCAUAAAGUGGAUAUUACUUCUCACGUCUGGGUAUGGUGGCCCAAUUUAUCUAGUGUUUCUACGUACAACAAGUCUCAUACAACUAGCAAAAAACUUCUCUCUCUCCUACCCAUCUCUUACCUCCCAGGCAUUCCAUAUCCUGUCCAUAUACAACCUUCAUCUCAACUACCACAACCUUUCCUAUUUGAGGUGUACGUUGCUGCCGAUUUUUCCAAUUCUUUUGGAGUGGUACUACUGGUCAUAGCAGGCGCAGAAGUAUUAGUAGCUAGUUCGAUAGCGGCGACCCAGUCAUUAUGCGUGUGCUUGUUACUAUUAUAUUGUGAACUGGUGGCAGAAGCAGGGGCAGCAGAAGUAAUUUCUUUUAACCUAGCAGAUGCACUCAUGGCCUGACCGCCAAUGACAGAGGUC